AUUGAACGCUGGCGGCAGGCCUAACACAUGCAAGUCGAGCGGAUGACGGGAGCUUGCUCCUUGAUUCAGCGGCGGACGGGUGAGUAAUGCCUAGGAAUCUGCCUGGUAGUGGGGGACAACGUUUCGAAAGGAACGCUAAUACCGCAUACGUCCUACGGGAGAAAGCAGGGGACCUUCGGGCCUUGCGCUAUCAGAUGAGCCUAGGUGGGAUUAGCUAGUUGGUGAGGUAAUGGCUCACCAAGGCGACGAUCCGUAACUGGUCUGAGAGGAUGAUCAGUAACACUGGAACUGGGACACGGUCCAGACUCCUGCGGGAGGCAGCAGUGUGGAAUAUUGGACAAUGGGCGCAAGCCUGAUCCAGCCAUGCCGCGUGUGUGAAGAAGGCCUUCGGGUUGUAAAGCACUUUUGUCCGGAAAGAAAUCCAAUCGAUUAAUACUCGGUUGGGAUGACGGUACCGGAAGAAUAAGCACCGGCUAACUUCGUGCCAGCAGCCGCGGUAAGAC
rnacentral:rRNA from 1 species